UAGAAAAGUUAUUUUCUGAGCAUCGAUA
rnacentral:sRNA from 1 species